GCCCCUCUAGUAUAAAAAGUAUUCUUAUCUUCCAAAUAGGAGGUCCGCCGUAAUAGCGGGAGGGGUU